GUUGUGGCUCAGUGGCACAGCGCUCGCCUAGCAUGUGUGAGGCCCUGGGUUCAAUCCUCAGCACA
rnacentral:tRNA from 1 species